GCUCUUCCUGGGUUGAGACUUGGCAACUUGCUUCUCCUGUUUGCUAGUGUUAUUCAUUCUCCCUCCUUCCCUCCCUCCCUCCCUCCCUUCCUCCCUCCCUCCCUCUCUCUCUUUCCCUUCCUUCCUUCCCUCUCCCCGUCUCUGUCUUUUCCUGUCUUUCUCCCUCCCUUAUUUUCUCUUUCUUUUAAGAAAAGAUGUAUCCAUUUAUGAUUUUAUGUGUAUGUGUGAAUGCCUGCAUGUAUGUGUGCACCACACGAGUGCCUGUGCCUGCUGCCCACAGAAGCCAGAAGUCAUCGGUUCUCCUGGAGCUGUAGUUGCAGACCCAUAACUGGUGUUACACCCCCACUCCCUGCCACCACAAAUACUGAGUCCAUUCCAGGAAUAGAAACCGCCGAAGGAUUACAUUCUCCACGGAGAACGAUCUCUAUGAAGGUGUGCAAUGUCUGUGAAAUACGGUGCCAACAAAAGAAUUCCAAACUGUGGCAGUCUUUUCAUGAGAUAAUCACAUAUAAAAUCAGGAUUGUUUCUUUUACAAAUGGGAGUCUACGACGAAUCCAUUGUUCUUCAAAGGCAGGAAAGGGCUCUUACUUAUUAUUGGGCUAGUCCUCAUUACGGCCACCUGAAUGAAUCCAAAGUACUUCCAAAAAUAAAUGGUUUCAUGACUUUUGUAUGUUUAAA
rnacentral:lncRNA from 1 species